AUGGGCAACGCUGGAAAGCGAGGAGACCGACAUCUCCUCCACCGACGGGGAAAAGCGGCUCGCCGCUGAAGCUCUCAGGUGCCAAAGACAGCGGGGGUGCA
rnacentral:ncRNA from 2 species